UGCUCAGGCCGUGUGGCCAGAAAUAGGCUAAUUAUUAAGCCUUUUAUCACUCUCACACCAUAUGCAUAGAUACAUACUUAUCCAAUAACAUACAACGUGACAUAAAUGAGCUCUUAAACAUCUACAAACAUGUUAUGCUCAAGUUAUUUUCUUAUGCAAUAAAUAUUAUAGAAUUUGCCUAUAUCAUUACCACAUACUAGACAUAACUAUCAUUACAUCACAAACCAUUCAUGAAGCAUUAUUAACUAUUUACCAAUCACUUAAUCCUGCAUUAGUUACUAGCUCAUCAAUGAAUCUCAAUUCAAUCUCUAGGCAUACAUGUUGUAAGCCACAUCACAAGAAAUAAUAACAUAAAUGCAUAAGAAUAAUCAUAUGGGCCCAUAACGAUAUUAGCCGACAUAGGCCAAUUUACAUAACUAAUACUACCUUAAUAACAAGUCAAUGCCUUUGGCUAAAUCAUAAUAUUACAUACUCACAUUAAAACCCUAUACAUGCCAUAGACUCGAAUCACUUGAGUUUACUUACUCCGAUAACGUUAACUCGAUAGGGUGAUAAUAUCUCUGACGGCCUCCAACCCGAGCUAACCUGGAAACUCUAAAAAACAUGGGAAAGAAGGGGGGUAAGCUUUCGCUUAGUAAGUUCAUAUGAAAACAAUAAGCAACUCAUUAACUUGUUUUAUCAAUGUUUACAACAUAUUCUCAAGUUCACUACAAGUUGUCUUCCUGAGCAACAAUCACUAAAUUAUUUAUAUCUGGAGCUAGACUUAUUUUCCUUUCUUCCAUAAAAUUUCCAGAAUUUUUGGUUAAGCCAAAUAGUACAGUUUAUUAGUUAAAGUCUCCCCUGUUUCAGGGUAUGACCACUCUGACCCCUGUUCACUACAAACUGAAUUUAUCCCUGUAAAAAAUUCCAACGACCAUGCCGUUUAUUUCCCAUAAAAAUAGACUCAAUAAGGAAUCUAUGCAUGCAAGGUAUAACUCUUAAUAAUUUUUGUACAAUUUUUGGUGAAUUUCUAAAGUUAGAACAGGGGAUCUCGAAUUCAUUCAGACCCUAUUUCACAAGAAUUCAAAUAUCACACAAUAUGGAAUUCUUUUUCUUCUUCUGUUUCUUUCAUGUGAAAAUAUACUCAUUGAGCUUUAAUCCCAUAUUUUAUUCUGCCUCUAACUCAUUUUCCACUAUUUUUAGUGUAUUUUCAAAGUUACACUACUGCAGUAACUCAAAUCUGUCAAGGCUAAAUUACUCAUUCAUGAUCAUUGUUCACAAAAUUAAUACAACAUCGUUUGUAUAAUCAUCACCGAGACAUUCAUAUCAGAUUUUCAUUUACCAUCUUACCAUAUUGUUGUUAUGUCGAGUUUUCAACCCGAGGGUUAAGUACAUACCUGUUCAAAGUAUCCAUUUCACAACAUUUACCAAUACGUCCCUUUCAUCUCGAGUAUUCCUCCAUUUGAGUAGAAUUUUACCCGUUGAACACAUCGGAAUAUAAUUCGGAUACAUGGAAAGUUUGCACAUAAGUGCCACAUAUGUAGCCAAGCUACCAUGUAACCCGCCCAUAAGUGAACUCGGACUCAACUCAACGAGCUCGGGCGUUCGCAUCCAUAAGUGAACUCGGACUCAACUCAACGAGCUCGGAUGCCUAGUUACAUCUCACGAACUCAGACUCAACUCAACGAGUUCGAACAUUCGCAUCCAUAAGUGAACUCGGACUCAACUCAACGAGUUCGGAUGCUCAACCAUCCUAGUGACAUGUCACUUGUAUCCUAAUCUAUUCCUAAGGUUCAAACGGGAUUUUCCUCGAACACAUAUCCUUGCCAUCUUCCGUAAAAUACCGAAACCAAUACUCGGUAGCACUUUAUAUUUAACAGAUAAUACACAUAACUUGCAUUUUAUUCGAAAAUAACCACAAAGCAUAUAUUUCAUGAUAAAAAUCAGCAUAUCAUAUAUUUAACAUCAAUAACUUAAAAAUAACAAUUAUGCUACAUUAUUUACAUAUGAACUUACCUCAUACCACAAAGGUGAAAAGACAUACUCGUCCAUAAAUCGAUUUCUUUCCGUUCUAGGUCCAAAUCUCAAUUUUCAUCAUCUAUAACAUCACAUUUAGCCUACCAAUCAGUCACAAUAUUCAUAUGGAUCAAAAAAUCAUAUUUUUACAAAUUUUUAUUUUGACCCCUAAACUUUUGCAUAUUUGCACUUUUGCCUCAAUGCUCGUAAAUUAAUUUUAUCAUAUUUAUUUACUCCUUGAGUCUAUAUGAACUAUUUUCAUAACUAUAGCAACUCAUAAUUUCAACUAUUUUACAUAUUUACAACUCAUUUUACAACUUAGCAAUUUACCCCUUUUUAAAGGUAUUUUCAUGCAAUUUCUUUCACAAAAGUUGUUUAUUAGACAACUAGGACUCAUUAUCUUCCAUAAAAACACAGCAAACAACACAUUUACUCUCAUAGUAAAACCCUAGACUCUUCAUCAUUUUGCAAAAUAAUCCCCUCUUAUGAAAGCUUAUGCUUUAGGGGUUCCAAAAAUACAAAAAUCAUCAAGCAAAGACAUUAAAAUCACUUACAAGCAAGGGAAAUAUGUUGCUGAAAUUUUCCAGCUUCAAAACCCUUUCUUUGCUGCAUAUUUCGGUGAAGGGGAAGAAAAAAAUGAUAGCAUUUUCUUUUUCUUUUUUUUU
rnacentral:lncRNA from 1 species